rnacentral:pre_miRNA from 1 species
AGAGGUUAUCCGUGUUUCUUCGCUUUAUUUAUGACGAAAAAUACGGGUGCACUUCUGU